UACCUGACUAGCUGAGAGGGGUGCAUGGCCGUCGUCAGUUCGUACUGUGAAGCAUCCUGUUAAGUCAGGCAACGAGCGAGACCCACGCCGACAGUUGCCAGCUCGUCCUCCGGGGAUGGUGGGGACACUGUUGGGACCGCCUCUGCUAAAGAGGAGGAAGGAAUGGGCAACGGUAGGUCAGCAUGCCCCGAAUUAUCUGGGCUACACGCGGGCUACAAUGGGUGGGACAAUGGGUAUCGACACCGAAAGGUGAAGGCAAUCUCCUAAACCCAUCCGUAGUUCGGAUUGUGGGCUGCAACUCGCCCACAUGAAGCUGGAAUCUGUAGUAAUCGUGUCUCAAAAUGGCACGGUGAAUAUGUCCCUGCUCCUU
rnacentral:rRNA from 1 species